rnacentral:rRNA from 1 species
GACGAACGCUGGCGGCGUGCUUAACACAUGCAAGUCGAACGGAAAGGCCCUGCUUUUGUGGGGUGCUCGAGUGGCGAACGGGUGAGUAACACGUGAGUAACCUGCCCUUGACUUUGGGAUAACUUCAGGAAACUGGGGCUAAUACCGGAUAGGGGCUCCUGCUGCAUGGUGGGGGUUGGAAAGUUUCGGCGGUUGGGGAUGGACUCGCGGCUUAUCAGCUUGUUGGUGGGGUAGUGGCUUACCAAGGCUUUGACGGGUAGCCGGCCUGAGAGGGUGAACGGCCACAUUGGGACUGAGAUACGGCCCAGACGCCUACGGGAGACAGCAGUGGGGAAUAUUGCACAAUGGGCGGAAGCCUGAUGCAGCAACGCCGCGUGCGGGAUGACGGCCUUCGGGUGGUAAACCGCUUUCGCCUGUGACGAAGCGUGAGUGACGGUAAUGGGUAAAGAAGCACCGGCUAACUACGUG